rnacentral:tRNA from 1 species
GGGUGGGUGGCUCAGUGGGUAGAGCCUAGGUCUCGUAACCGAAAGGUUCCGAGUUCGGACCUCGCCAGAGGCA